rnacentral:rRNA from 1 species
UACGUAGGGUGCAAGCGUUGUCCGGAAUUAUUGGGCGUAAAGAGCUCGUAGGCGGUUCGUCGCGUCGGCUGUGAAAUCCCGAGGCUCAACCUCGGGUCUGCAGUCGAUACGGGCGGACUGGAGUUCGGCAGGGGAGACUGGAAUUCCUGGUGUAGCGGUGAAAUGCGCAGAUAUCAGGAGGAACACCGAUGGCGAAGGCAGGUCUCUGGGCCACUACUGACGCUGAGAAGCGAAAGCGUGGGGAGCGAACAGG